rnacentral:rRNA from 1 species
UACGUAUGGUGCAAGCGUUAUCCGGAUUUACUGGGUGUAAAGGGAGCGCAGGCGGCGCGGCAAGUCCGAUGUGAAAACCCCCGGCUCAAUCGGGGGACUGCAUUGGAAACUACCGGGCUGGAGUGCCGGAGAGGUAGGCGGAAUUCCUGGUGUAGCGGUGAAAUGCGUAGAUAUCAGGAGGAACACCAGUGGCGAAGGCGGCCUACUGGACGGUGACUGACGCUGAGGCUCGAAAGCGUGGGGAGCAAACAGG